rnacentral:rRNA from 1 species
UACGUAGGGGGCAAGCGUUGUCCGGAAUUAUUGGGCGUAAAGAGCGCGUAGGCGGUCCGAUAAGUCGGCUGUGAAAGUCAGGGGCUCAACCCCUGAAUGCCGGCCGAUACUGUCGGGCUAGAGUCCGGAAGAGGCGAGUGGAAUUCCCGGUGUAGCGGUGAAAUGCGCAGAUAUCAGGAAGAACACCCGUGGCUAAGGCGGCUCUCUAGUACGGUACUGACGCUGAGACGCGAAAGCGUGGGGAGCGAACAGG